rnacentral:lncRNA from 1 species
UAAGUGUUGUAUUCCUAUGUUGCUCCUGUUUUUCCUCAGAUUUCUCCUGUGAACAAAAUAUUACCACUGAACUUGGAAGAGACAUUGUUUUUAAAUGUAACAGUAGUUGCUCUAUUGCACACAUGACAGUGAGAUUCUGCUCUUCUGAUGGAACCAAAUGUCCUCUUGAAAGUGACCUCAACACGUACAAAAAAAUACUCAGGACUGAAAGGGGAAGAAUUUCCUUGAUUAUGAUGGACACCCAUGCUAUUCUGAGUAUCAACCAUGUACAAAUAUAUGAUGAAAGGCCUUACAAGAUUUUUUUCCAGACACUAUGCGGGGACAAUGGUGAUAUGAAUUAUUUUCUGUUUCUAAAGGUGGUGGCACAAUAUUCUGAACCAAGUAUCACAGUGAAGAAUGGCAAUCUUGUAUGUGAGACCUAUGGAGGCUAUCCAGAAAGGCAACUCUAUUGGUUUGAUGAUCAAGGAAACAACUUGACGGACAAAGCAGAAUUCAGAGCUACAAAAAAUGAAAUAGACGGUUCAUUUUCUCUCAGCAGCUUACUUAAGCAAGAAUCAAGCAUCAACCCAGAGAGAUACACUUGUACUCUCAAUGAAACAGGCAUUUCAAGUAUGCCUCAAAAUUUUCCAGAAGUUGUGUCUGCAGAGGCAAUUGUGUUGGAACAGUCCACAAAAAACAGCUCCCUGGUCGUUGGCUUGGUGUUACCGGGGGUUUUGGUGUUUGUCUCUGUGUUAUUAUUUUUAUGCUAUAGAACUACGAAAGGAAAAGCACAGAAAAAGUUGGGACUCCAUCAGGCAUUUUUUAAAACUCUGCAGAGAACAAGAUCUACAGGAAAUUCAGCAUUCUAAGCAAAGUAAAACAACAACAACAAUAAAAUUUCUUUAUCCAAUAAAUUUAAGUGCA